UUUUUUUAAGUCUGAUGUGAAAGCCUUCGGCUCAACCGAAGAAGUGCAUCGGAAACUGGGAAACUGAGUGCAGAAGAGGACAGUGGAACUCCAUGUGUAGCGGUGAAAUGCGUAGAUAUAUGGAAGAACACCAGUGGCGAAGGCGGCUGUCUGGUCUGUAACUGACGCUGAGGCUCGAAAGUAUGGGUAGCAAACAGGAUUAGAUACCCUGGUAGUCCAUACCGUAAACGAUGAAUGCUAAGUGUUGGAGGGUUUCCGCCCUUCAGUGCUGCAGCUAACGCAUUAAGCAUUCCGCCUGGGGAGUACGGCCGCAAGGCUGAAACUCAAAGGAAUUGACGGGGGCCCGCACAAGCGGUGGAGCAUGUGGUUUAAUUCGAAGCUACGCGAAGAACCUUACCAGGUCUUGACAUACUAUGCAAAUCUAAGAGAUUAGACGUUCCCUUCGGGGACAUGGAUACAGGUGGUGCAUGGUUGUCGUCAGCUCGUGUCGUGAGAUGUUGGGUUAAGUCCCGCAACGAGCGCAACCCUUAUUAUCAGUUGCCAGCAUUAAGUUGGGCACUCUGGUGAGACUGCCGGUGACAAACCGGAGGAAGGUGGGGAUGACGUCAAAUCAUCAUGCCCCUUAUGACCUGGGCUACACACGUGCUACAAUGGAUGGUACAACGAGUUGCGAACUCGCGAGAGUAAGCUAAUCUCUUAAAGCCAUUCUCAGUUCGGAUUGUAGGCUGCAACUCGCCUACAUGAAGUCGGAAUCGCUAGUAAUCGCGGAUCAGCAUGCCGCGGUGAAUACGUUCCCGGGCCUUGUACACACCGCCCGUCACACCAUGAGAGUUUGUAACACCCAAAGUCGGUGGGGUAACCUUUAGGAACC
rnacentral:rRNA from 2 species